rnacentral:rRNA from 1 species
AAUGAACGCUGGCGGCAUGCCUAACACAUGCAAGUCGAACGAAAGCGCGGGCCUCGGCCUCGCGCGGGGUGGCGAACGGGUGGGUAAUACAUCGGAACGUGCCCUGUAGUCGGGGAUAGGAUGGCAAAAGCGCAAAUAAUCUCGCAGAGGACCAUAUGGUGGAAGCGGGUGAGCGAAAGUCCUCGCGGCUUUUGAGCGGGCUAAUGCGUAUCAACGAGUUGGUUCGGUAAAUGGUUACCGAGGCGGACAACCGAAGCUGGGCUGAGAGGACGACCAGACACACUGGGAGUGAGGAACGGCCCAGACUCCUACGGGAGGCAGCAGUGGGGAAUCUUGGACAAUGGGGGCAAGCCUGAUCUAGCAAUGCCGCGUGAGGGAAGAAGGCCUUCGGGUUGUAAAGCGCUUUUGUUCGGGAAGAAGUAAUGUGCGUUAAUCCACCGGGGGGAUGACGGUACCGGAAGAAUAAGCCCCGGCUAACUACGUG